GCUUUAUCUGGGUGACUGCAUGGCAAUGAAUUUCUGCAUUGAAAGUUCUAACUGACUAAACUGACAUUCUGCACUGCAGCAAGUGACUGUGUCAGGCAAAGCUUAGUUUAUAAGCAAGUGUCCUGGAGUGAAAACGGCGUUGGAGAUAAUGAUAUCUCAGGGCAAUUUCUUUUGAAAUAUAUUCAUUCUGCCUUGUAUCCAGAGAAAAUAAAAGGGAACGUGAAAAGAUAGUUAAUUUCUCAUUUUACCUUUUUAAGAAUCUAUUUGGAGGGUUGUGCAUUGCCAAGGCCCCUUUAGAUGGAAUAUAAUACAGCAGAAGCCUUUUCAUCAAAAGGAUUAAUGCCUGCAUCAUCAUUUCUGCAAUAAAACAAGAAGCUAAGUGGUGGAGGCCACAGACACUUCAAACCUGGAUUCCACAAUUCUAUGUUAAGUGUUGGAGUUUUUAUUACUGUGCUGUAGGAAAGCCUUUGCCAAUGCUUACAAGGAACUCUUUAUCCCUGCUUCUCUGGGUUCUGUUUGAUGGAGGUCUCUUAACACCACUACAAUCACAGCCACAGCAGACUUUAGCCACAGAGCCAAGAGAAAAUGUUAUCCAUCUGCCAGGACAACGGCCACACUUCCAACGUGUUAAACGUGGCUGGGUAUGGAAUCAAUUUUUUGUGCUGG
rnacentral:sRNA from 1 species